AUACCUUUCUCGGCCUUUUAGCUAUGAUCAGGUGUAGUAUAGUAUCUGUUCUUAUCAGUUUAAUAUCUGAUAUAUGAACCAUGUGUUCACUUUGAUAUUAAAUUUAUUUUUUAUGGGAGGAGGGCUCACAAUAGUGGCUUGCCACUAGAGCUCUUGAGCGUCACUCCACAGUUGCACUACAGCCAAAGCCUGGCGCACCCCAA
rnacentral:snRNA from 1 species